rnacentral:rRNA from 1 species
UACGGAGGAUGCAAGCGUUAUCCGGAAUGAUUGGGCGUAAAGCGUCCGCAGGUGGCAAUGUAAGUCUGCUGUCAAAGCGUCUGGCUCAACCAGAUAAAGGCAGUGGAAACUACAUAGCUAGAGUAAGGUAGGGGUAGAGGGAAUUCCUGGUGUAGCGGUGAAAUGCGCAGAGAUCGGGAGGAACACCCGUAGCGAAGGCGGCACUCUGGGCCGGUACUGACGCUGAGACGCGAAAGCGUGGGGAGCAAACAGG